CCGGAGGAAGGUGGGGAUGACGUCAAGUCCUCAUGGCCCUUAUGGGUAGGGCUUCACACGUCAUACAAUGGUCGGUACAGAGGGUUGCCAAGCCGCGAGGUGGAGCCAAUCCCAGAAAGCCGAUCGUAGUCCGGAUUGUUCUCUGCAACUCGAGAGCAUGAAGUCGGAAUCGCUAGUAAUCGCGGAUCAGCAUGUCGCGGUGAAUACGUUCCCGGGUCUU
rnacentral:rRNA from 1 species